GGUGAAUCUGUGCUCGUAGAAGCAAAAAUCUGAUUGGUAAAAGCUCCGUAGGAGAGUCUCUGUUUGUCUCUAGGAGUGCUAAAUCCAGGAAGAGUCAUUUUGUCUUGGGGGGAAAUACUCGAAGAGUGACAAAAACUUUGGGGUCUUGGAGAUCUUUCUUUUUUUAUAGGACUAGGCUUAUCAUCUAAGUCAUCAUCACUUUCAUCAAUUUCUUCCUGCCGAAGAUUCCAUUCAUACUCUACGUGGACAUGCGGAUUUAGCUUUCCAGCCUUGGCUUGAGAAAGCAGUUCUUCACACUGGACAGCUUUCAGUCUUUUUGCUGUGUCUAGAGCUGUCUCUCCAGCUUGAUUAACUACAUCAAUAGUUGGCUUCCCCCUCAAAAGCAACUUCAAAC
rnacentral:lncRNA from 1 species